rnacentral:rRNA from 1 species
CCUACGGGGCGCAGCAGUGAGGAAUAUUGGUCAAUGGGCGAGAGCCUGAACCAGCCAAGUCGCGUGAAGGAUGACGGCCCUAUGGGUUGUAAACUUCUUUUGUCAGGGAGCAAUUGAGUCCACGCGUGGGCUUAGCGAGAGUACCUGAAGAAAAAGCAUCGGCUAACUCCGCGCCAGCAGCCGCGGUAAUCCGGAGGAUGCGAGCGUUAUCCGGAUUUAUUGGGAUUAAAGGGUGCGUAGGCGGAAUAUCAAGUCAGCGGUAAAAAUUCGGGGCACAACCCCGUCGUGCCGUUGAAACUGAUGUU